UGUUACUACUCUCAGGAACCAUGUGGUCCUGCACACCUGCCUGCCUGGCACACUCCUCCACUGAUUUCAACUGGGCACCAGUCACAACGCCUCACACAUAGCAGGGGAUAGGGAGAUGGUGUGGCAUGCGGAGACCGCCACAUGAACAUGGGCAUCCUGGGCAGACCUGAGUUUACAUCCUAGCUCCUCCACUUGCCCCAGUUCUCUAAUGCCUGUAGGACUCAAAGAUGCACAGCACAACAUGUGGGAUCUUAGUUCCCCGAGCAGGGGUCGAACCCAUUUCCCCUGCAGUGGAAGCAUGGAGUUUUAACCACUGUACCACCAGGGAAGUCCCCAUCAAAUUCAACGCUUACUAAAACACAUGUCUUUCUUUCUCGAACUUGUAUUUCUAACAGGUUUAUUGAGAUAGAAUCUACAAAUCACUCAACCUAGUGAUUUAAAGGGCCACAUCUCUUUUUCUUUAAGGAAAACCCAUAAUCACCAUGGUCUGUAUAUGGUGUACAUGGUCAGCUACUUAUGGAGUGGCCAUGUAACAGACUAGGAAGACGUGUGCAAAUGAAGGCCCCCUGAACGUGGAAUGAUAAAGCACUCUAUUGGCCAGUGCUUGUCCUGCACAAGUGGCUCCUUGUGCCCCCUAUUGGAUUUUGAAAGAACAAUCUCUCAGCCUUGAUUCAAAGUUUUGGAGGCUGGAAAGUCCAAGAUCAAGGCAUCAACAGAUUUCGUGUCUAGCGAGAGCCUGCUUCUCAGUUUACAGAUGGCAUUCUUCUCACUGCGUCCUUGCAUGGUAGAAGUGACAUUACACGUGCAUCAUGUUUUCAAAGAGAAAUAAAAGCUGAUCGAGAACGUCUACCUAGGACAAUUUUCUGAUCAAGUAUUUUUUAGCUUUUGACAACACUCGCUCAAUCUCCAGGAUGGUGCUCUUCAUGAAAAAUAUUUCAAGUCUGGUCAUCGGUGACACUCGCUGUUUUUUCAAGUCCGAGCUGUCCACUCUGGAAAGUGCGACCCACGGAGGACAGGAAGGAGCCACACAGUAAACUAAGCAGCAAAUAGGUGCUUCUUCAGAACUUUUUCAAGGCCAAGCAAACCCAAAGCACAGCCACACCCCACAAAGAACUUAAUAACCAGUAAUUUGGAGCCGGAUGCACAAGUAAAGGAGCCUCUUUCAUAACCUCGCUGGCACGUGUUAAUGGUUUUAAUUAAUAAUACUGUUUUUUAAUACAUAAAAGAACAUAGGCAUCGCCCAUGUGCCUGCCAGCUGAGUGGCGGAGAGCGGAGUGUGUCUUGCCGGCG
ensembl:lncRNA